GAUCGAAUAUGCGCCUGGUGACCUGGCGAAGAUGCUAAGAUAUGCGCCUGCGCCUCUGAACUUGUCUUGUUGUAGGGCGCACUCUUUAUAUAGAUACCAAUGCCAGGAUUAUCAACAAGUGUUUUACGGAUACGUCUGCGCAGUGUGUGGUGUUAUAUGUGUAAAUGUGGACAUGCGUAAAAAAGAAAUAAAGAUGUGGCAGGCGUAUGUUGAAAUACAGUGAAACCAA